UACAGAGGGUGCGAGCGUUGUCCGGAAUCACUGGGCGUAAAGGGCGCGUAGGCGGCUGGGUAAGUCGGAGGUGAAAUCCCGUGGCUCAACUGCGGGGCUGCCUUCGAGACUGCCUGGCUUGAGCGCGGUAGAGGCUGGUGGAAUUCCCGGUGUAGCGGUGGAAUGCGUAGAGAUCGGGAGGAACAUCGGUGGCGAAGGCGGCCAGCUGGGCCGUUGCUGACGCUGAGGCGCGAAAGCGUGGGGAGCAAACAGG
rnacentral:rRNA from 1 species